rnacentral:tRNA from 1 species
CAAGAAGUAGCUUACAAAACAGCCCCCAGCCUACACCUGGAAGACGUCACACAGACCUUCUUGAG